AAAAAGUGGAAGGCAUCGACACAAAACGGGCUCGGCAAAAAACCUCUCGGAUCCUGGAAACGCGUCCUGGGACGGAGCUGGAGCACUGCUGCUGGGGCUUUGGGUGGCUGAUGGAGCUCUCCAGGCGUGCGGAGAAAGGCUGGGGACGCUUUGUCUGGAGAUGGAGUACAAUGAUCCUCAAGAUGGAGAGAGCUCUGCCAAUGCAAGAGCAUCCUGAAUGCCAACCUUGGGAAGUCUGUUGAGGGAACACUGGGGAAGCAAAUGCAGCCUGGCUCCACUCUAGGAGAAAGACAAUGAGAAGGGGAAGAAGCAUAUGAAUGUAGAAGACUGACUCCCACCUUGCACUAUGCUGCAUGCUAGGCAGGACCACACAUCACCUCCUUUUCACCUGAGUCAAUGGGUGCCACUUGCGGACAGGAACUAGGAGAUAGAUAGGAAGUGGGGAUGAGAACCUGUAAAGAGAUACCCUCUCAACUGAGCCCUGGUAUAGACAUCCCAUGCUGGAUGGUGCAGACAAGAGGAUGGACUGACAAGGGGAGACAGGAGUCAGGUCUUACAACUACAAAGAUCAGCAGUUGUGAUCCCAGCACCAGAGUCCCCUUACAGGACAAGGGUGAGUUUUGGUAGGGACAGCCAUGGCAUAGAAGGUCUUAGCCUGGACUCUGUCCCCCUGCAGCCCUACAGGCAGGAAAGUUGUCCUGCCUGUAAUGUCAACCCAGUGCGGAAGCAAGCCUUGACCCACUCUGGAUGCCCUUGAUGGUUACUCCCAAGGAACAAAUGUCUCAGCUGAACAUCUUGUGGCUGCUAUGGUUUCCAGAGUAGGUUCCAAAAAAAAAAACAGGGACUUGCUUGAAGAGUGCCAGCCUGCACCGAAGUGGGUUGAUUGUCGUGUGGGUCCCAAGGCUGCCCUAUGAACAGGUAGAGCCACAGCUAAAAGACUUUCCCUCCUCCCUGCUGAAAACGUACUCACAUGUAUUUCUCCUCUCACUUUUUCUCCAUACCCAAACAGCAUUCACGCAAGGAGGGUGAGCUGGGGAAAACAGCAUCAAUUAAACAUCUACUUCUCUGUGAGGAGCACUUCAUGUGACAGUGGCAGCCACCUCACCACCCAGCCCUGACAGUCACAACACUGGGGUGGUGACAGGGAGAGACUGCAAGAGCAGAGGGUCUCCUAGACAUGACAAACUUGCCAUGCUCUUCUCAACAAGUAUGCAGAAAAUCAGCAUGAGAUAAGGCAUACAGAACAGUUUCUUUCCCUUCUUUCUUUUUUUUUUUUUUGUCCGAGCAAUACAUAUCUGCAAAAGAUAGACUCAAAAGUCCCAGUAUUCAGAACUUCUGCUAUGCAGUCGAUCCAGCUGAAAAGCGAACAAACAAACAAACAAAAAAAGAAAAAAGAAAAAAAAGAGAGAGAGAGAGAAACCUUUCUGAAAUCACACUUAGUAAUUUUCCAGCAGAUCUACAAAAGGAAGCUUUUAUUCUUUUGGUUGUGCAUGUCUCCUCAGAAAGCAAAAGGCCUCAUCUGAUACCGAAACAGGUCACGCUGGUUAUUUAAAUUUUGGUUGUGAGAACACUUGCUCAUGUGUCCUUCCCUGCUCAAGGAAUGGUCUUAGCUUAAUGAAGCCACUAACUUCGCUCUAUAGAGCUAAGUGUUUUCUUUUAAUUUCUCCUUCGCUCUUGGAAGACCACUCAUGCUCAACACUGCACAUGUGCAAACAUGUAGAGACAAACAUUUUCUUUUCUCUCCUCCCCCGCACCAGCAUCUUCUGCCCAUAUGGGACAGAUAAUCCCUUUUCAUAUCAGCUCAUCUUCUUCUUUCAACACAGUUUCCUUGACAUCCCAAAUUACAACCAAAUGGAGGAACGGAGGAAUGAGCCUGAAAUCAAUUUCAGAUCACUCAAAAGAAAUAGAUUUAUAGCAAAGAUAAAUCAGCAAAACCUUUGAGGGUAGAUCCCUGAAUUCUUGCCGCAAUCCCUGACAUAUUUAGUACCUGUUGAUAGAGGCUAAGACAGCACCUAGUCACUGAGGCAAGGGGCUGGGACACGCGCAGAGGUCAUCUUCCCCAUGGGUGGUGGUGGGAUGAGCAUCCCUUGCAAUGGAAGGGUUUGGGUCAAGAGUGUCUGUAGGAGCAUCCCCAAUGAGGCAUGGAGCAUCAUCCUGUGUGUCCCACGUGGGACAGGUGGGAUAAGGGAGGUCCAACACUUGUGGCUGCUUUUAAACACAGGUAAAGGAUGCCCUGAGCACCCCAGCUGGAUUUUUAGCCCCACGUGGUUAACAAGAGCUUCUUAAGAGUUAUCUAGGAGAUAAUCCAGAAAUUCCCUAACUGUGAGGAACUAUAAGAAACAGUACAAUCGCUGGUAGCAUUCUGGGGUGCAUUAAAAAUAUUAUAGCCAGCAUGUUUGAUGGAGACUGUCCUCCCCUUCUACUUGCCCUUGUAAGGCCACAUCUGUAGUACUGUGUCCAGUUCUGGGUUCUUCAGUUCAAGAAAGACAUGGAACUUCUAGAGAGAGCCCAGUGGAGGGCCACAAAGAUGAUGAGCCCAGAGCAUCUCCAUUAUGAGGAAAAGCUGAGAGACCUGGGACUAUUCAGCAUGGAGAAGACUGCUUAUAAAUAUCUAAUGGGUGGGUGACAAGUGGGUGGGGCCAGGCUCUUUUUGGUGGUGCCCAGUAACAAAACAAGGGGCAAUGAGCACAAACUGGAACAUAGGAAGUUCCACUUGAACAUGAGGAUAAACUUCUUUACUGUGAGGGUGGCAGAGCACUGGAACAGGCUACCCAGAGGGGUUGUGGAGUUGCCUUCUCUGGAGAUAUUCAAAACCUGCCUGGACACCUGCCUGCGCGACCUGCUGUAGGGAGACUGCUUUAGCAGGGAUUGGACUCGGUGGUCUCCAGAGGUCCCUUCCAACCUCUCUGAUUCUGUGAUUCUGUAAAACGAGCCACCAAACUCAUCCCAAAGAGACACGCACAGGAGCCAAAUCACUGCCCAUACUAACACAGUUAGUAUGUACAUACUGCACAUAUAGGGGAGUAAUGGCUUUGCAGAGUCAAGACUUUUUGAGACUGACGAGUGGGAAGUCAAGGCCAGAGGUUGCCAGGAAGCCAGAAGCUGCCCCAGCAGUAGCACCAGUGGGCGAGGAAGUGCACAGCUAGUUUGGCCAUUAACUCAAAUGCACACUUAGAUAAGAGGAAAACAGUGCAUUUGGUGGCGAGAGGGGCCCGAUGGCAUCUGCCAAAGCUACCAGCAAAAUGCCUGCUCACUCCAGGAAGAGCAGAUUUGUUUCUGGAUCCUAUGAAGGAAAAUGCUGACAUUAAGCCUAAAUUUUCCACAUUUUUUUUUCUUUCUAGACACGUUUGAAUCUUUUCACUUGAUUAACACCGAAUUUCAAUAUUUCAUGAAGUUAAUGCCCAGGGAAAAAACAAAUCUUACACUAGUAUGUACUUAUAUCAAAGAUCCCAACUCCAGUUAAUUUCACGAGGAAAAAAGAGAAAAAAAAAAAAAAAAGAAAGAAAUCACAGCCCUGAGAAUUGCAUCGUGUUGCCAGUUAUGUUCAUCUCUCUUUCUGGAGACUUCGCUUGGCUUGGACAUCAACAGGACUACUUCAGGAAUGAGGCACUUUUUAGCAUGGGGAAGGGUAAUAAAACUCAGUCUUUUGUUU
ensembl:lncRNA